UCUAGAACUCGAGAUAUGAGAAGAACACCGAACAAUAUCUGGGUUGCAGGACAGAUUCCGACUUCUCUUUUGUUGCUACAAUUUGAACUUGAAAACGACCCUUUUGAAUCUUGAACUCUGUAUUAAAGUUUUAGGCAUAUAUCUUAGCUUUUCAUC
rfam:Populus trichocarpa scaffold_7_contig_76, whole genome shotgun sequence.